GGGUUGCAGGGGUGAGGGUGGACAAGACGGCUAGUAGAAGAAAAAGUUUUUAAAAUACACUUAGCUUUCUGUUCCGGGCAGUGGUGGCGCACGCCUUUAAUCCCAGCACUUGGGAGGUUGAGUUCGAGGCCAGCCAGGGCUUAGAGAUAUCUUUGUUAACAUCAGGGCAGCAGUUCUGGUCACCUGGAUUUAUAAACACCAAGAAGUAGCAACAGCCAGUGUGCAAGUCACUGACAACCCAAGUCACCAAAACUCUUACUAAGAACCCAUUAGCUCCUUGAAUUAAAGAUUAUUUUGUGAAAAGAGGCUUGAUCGUCUUGUUCUACACCUGAAAUAAAGCAUUUCCCAUUCUGUUGUUUUAAAAUAUUUACUCUGUAACAAGUGUACAUAAUUUUGUUUUUAUAAUAAAAAAGUAGUGAUACCAAAAUAUGGGACAA
ensembl:antisense 1810041H14Rik RIKEN cDNA 1810041H14 gene